rnacentral:rRNA from 1 species
GAUGAACGCUGGCGGCGUGCCUAAUACAUGCAAGUCGAGCGAACAGACGAGGAGCUUGCUCCUCUGACGUUAGCGGCGGACGGGUGAGUAACACGUGGAUAACCUACCUAUAAGACUGGGAUAACUUCGGGAAACCGGAGCUAAUACCGGAUAAUAUAUUGAACCGCAUGGUUCAAUAGUGAAAGACGGUUUUGCUGUCACUUAUAGAUGGAUCCGCGCCGCAUUAGCUAGUUGGUAAGGUAACGGCUUACCAAGGCGACGAUGCGUAGCCGACCUGAGAGGGUGAUCGGCCACACUGGAACUGAGACACGGUCCAGACUCCUACGGGAGGCAGCAGUAGGGAAUCUGCCGCAAAGGGCGAAAGCCUGACGGAGCAACGCCGCGUGAGUGAUGAAGGUCUUCGGAUCGUAAAACUCUGUUAUUAGGGAAGAACAAAUGUGUAAGUAACUAUGCACGUAUUGACGGUACCGAAUCAGAAAGCCACGGCUAACUACGUG